rnacentral:rRNA from 1 species
GUGAGGAAUUUUCCGCAAUGGGCGAAAGCCUGACGGAGCAAUGCCGCGUGAAGGAUGAAGGCCUAUGGGUUGUAAACUUCUUUUCUUAGAGAAGAAUAUUGACGGUAUCUGAGGAAUAAGCAUCGGCUAACUUCGUGCCAGCAGCCGCGGUAAUACGAAGGUCCCAAGCGUUGUUCGGAAUCACUGGGCGUAAAGGGUGCGUAGGCGGCGUGGUAAGUCAGAUGUGAAAUCCCGGGGCUCAACCUCGGAACUGCAUCCGAUACUGCCAUGCUUGAGGGCUGGAGAGGUAACUGGAAUUCUCGGUGUAGCAGUGAAAUGCGUGGAUAUCGAGAGGAACACUCGUGGCGAAGGCGAGUUACUGGACAGCAUCUGACGCUGAGGCACGAAGGCCAGGGGAGCGAAAGGGAUUAGAUACCCGUGUAGUCC